UAACGUUCUGAGGAAAUAGUGUAUUCUGCU
rnacentral:piRNA from 1 species